rnacentral:rRNA from 1 species
UAGUGAGGUGCCGUCAAGAGGUGUAAAUUUGA